AGAAUCAGUAAGCUCACUCGUCAAAAAAUUUGUUCCAUGCGCGAAGUUGACCAAAAUUCGUUUCACCGUGCGCAUCCGAUAAAGCGGAUCGGAUACGUUUGCUACGAUUGGUCGGGAGUCGGAGUCGGGAUCGUGUCGUGUCAUUCAUCAUCUGAUUUUCUUUUGAGAAUUUUUUGAGGUUGUGUUUGGGAAUUGGAUUGUUUUGGUUAAUUUACUACUUUGUUCUCAUAUUAAUAAUAUAUAUUAUGUACGUGUAAAAUAUUAUGUGCUGUGAAUGUGAUAUUAUUUUCUUAAAUCAAUAAAAUGGAAAUAAAGCAAGCAGAAAAUAAUUUUUACAAAGAAGAAUGUAAAAUUAAAAUCGAAAAUUCUGGACAACCUGUGUGAUGCUGUAAUAGUUCCUAUUCUGUUAAAACUUUAAAACUGAGAUAGAGUAGAGACUGUAGAGAGUCUUUAAAACUGAUAAAAGUAGUUAUUUCUAUGGUGGAAAUUUUUUGGACCAAAUAAAUAGUGAAGACAUCAAAUAAAAGGAGGAUAGAUAAUUCAUGUCCAAAAAUAAUUUUCUUCAUAAUAAAUGAAGAACUGAAGUUAUUGUAAAACCAGUGGCUGGACAUUCUCCUGUCAAGAAGAACAACCGAUUAAGCAAGUGUGCAGAAGAAACAAUGAAAUUGUGAAAUUUGUUUUAGGUUAUUUACCUGUGUAGAUUAUUUGAAAAAACAUUUAAGAGCACACACUGGAGAAAAAUGUGAAAUCUGCGUUAAGCAAUUUUCUCUAAAUUCUCGUCUAAAUCGACAUAAAUAUAUGAUAGUUCAUACUCGGGAAAAAUCUCACAAAUGUGAAAUCGUUUACCACUGUGUGUCAUAUGAAAGCACAUUUUAGAACACACAGUGGUAAAAAACCUUAUGAAUGCAACAUUUGUAGUAAGCAAUUGUUGACUGCAAAAACAAAUUUAAAUAAAAAAGUGACAAAGAUGUGACAGAAA
rnacentral:lncRNA from 1 species